ACGAUUUAAUUGUAUCGCAAAAUGGGUUUUGAAUAAUCGAGACAAUCGAUGAUUUGCUCAAAAAAUCGCAUCGCUAUAAGCAACAUUGGCGCGCAAAAGUUGGAAAGCGAAGCGUAAUUAUGGCACCAACAAUUAGUUAAGUUAUGAAGCGCAUACGACAAGAAAUGGCGGAGCUUUCAGAUAUAAAUGAAAGUUUAGGAAGCACUAGUGACGGCUCAUCUACUCGCGAAGUUGAGUUCGAUUUAUGGACCCACCACAAGGCACUGGCCCAGUAAGAAAGACGCGUAAUGUCGUCAAUGCCUGGGAGGAGAUGCGUACUUUAUACCCUAAGCUAUAUGUUAUAGCUUGGUAUUGUUUCUUAAUAGGCACUUCGGUACCAGCGGAACGUCUUUCCCAAGGCGGGUGCCACAUUAACCGAAAAAAGGAACAGGUUAACAACAGAGCACCUUUCACAACUACUAUUUCUUAACUCAAUUUUAAAUAAAUAAACAUUUAUAUUCUUG